rnacentral:rRNA from 1 species
UACGCUGGCGGCACGCCUAAACAUGCAAGUCGAACGAAGUAGCAAUACUUAGUGGCAGACGGGUGAGUAACAUGUGGGUAUCUGCCCUUUGGCCUGGAAUAACACGAGGAAACUUGUGCUAAUACCGGAUAAGUCUUUACGGAGAAAGCUUUAUGCACCAUUGGAUGAGCCUGCACUUGAUUAGUUUGUUGGUGGGGUAAUGGCCUACCAAGACUGUGAUCAAUAGCUGAUUUGAGAGGAUGAUCAGCCACAUUGGGACUGAGACACGGCCCAAACUCCUACGGGAGGCAGCAGUGGGGAAUCUUGCACAAUGGAGGAAACUCUGAUGCAGCGAUGCCGCGUGAGUGAAGAAGGCCUUUGGGUUGUAAAGCUCUUUCGUCGGGGAAGAAAAUGACUGUACCCGAAUAAGGAUCGG